GAAGGUACGGUCUUUCAAGAAUGACUUCAGUGGGCCAAUUCCAUUCCAAGAAAUCGCGACCGUGAAUUCAAAGUUAAAGAAGGCAAGGAUAGAUCGUUCCAUCUCCGGAAACAAGCCAUACAUGAUAUGAUGGGAGCAGAUCUGCAUCCGCCGUUCGCAAAUUCAAAGUUAAAGAAGGCAAGGAUAGAUCACUCCAUCUCCGG
rnacentral:lncRNA from 1 species